rnacentral:tRNA from 1 species
AUUGAUGAAGGUCAGCAUGGUAUGCUUCGAGCCUUGGGCGCUCGAGGUCGCCGGUUCAAAUCCGGCCGACCCCA